UGAUAUUAGUCAACUAUAAUAUUGCAUAAUCCACUGACCGCGUCGAAGACACAGUGUAUCGUUGAAUAAAAUAUGGAAAAUAUUAACUGGUUAUUACAAGUAUACAACAAUUUAGAAAACGGGGUUCAAAUCGAAACCGUUAGCCCCGAUGGACAUAUAUAUCAUAUUCAAGGUACUGGAGCUCAGCCAGUUAUUAUACUAUUUAGAAUGCGAAAGCGCCGCCGCCAAUCGAACAAUGAAGGAUCGAUGGAUAAUGAUAGCAGCUGCGGUGGCAGCAGUAGCAGCAAGGCCAUGCAAUACGGCUACC